GACGAACGCUGGCGGCGUGCUUAACACAUGCCAGUCGAACGGAAAGGCCCUGCUUUUGUGGGGUGCUCGAGUGGCGAACGGGUGAGUAACACGUGAGUAACCUGCCCUUGACUUUGGGAUAACUUCAGGAAACUGGGGCUAAUACCGGAUAGGAGCUCCUGCUGCAUGGUGGGGGUUGGAAAGUUUCGGCGGUUGGGGAUGGACUCGCGGCUUAUCAGCUUGUUGGUGGGGUAGUGGCUUACCAAGGCUUUGACGGGUAGCCGGCCUGAGAGGGUGACCGGCCACAUUGAGACUGAGAUACGGCCCAGACUCCUACGGGAGGCAGCAGUGGGGAAUAUUGCACAAUGGGCGGAAGCCUGAUGCAGCAACGCCGCGUGCGGGAUGACGGCCUUCGGGUUGUAAACCGCUUUCGCCUGUGACGAAGCGUGAGUGACGGUAAUGGGUAAAGAAGCACCGGCUAACUACGUG
rnacentral:rRNA from 1 species